UACGUAGGGGGCGAGCGUUGUCCGGAUUUAUUGGGCGUAAAGCGCGGGCAGGCGGCCCGGUAAGUCGGCCGUGAAAGCGCCGGGCUCAACUCGGCGAGGACGGGCGAGACUGCGGGGCUUGAGAGAGGUAGGGGGCGGUGGAAUUCCGGGUGUAGUGGUGGAAUGCGUAGAGCUCCGGAGGAACACCAGUGGCGAAGGCGGCCGCCUGGGCCUUUUCUGACGCUGAGCCGCGAAAGCGUGGGGAGCGAGCCGG
rnacentral:rRNA from 1 species